AUUGAACGCUGGCGGCAGGCCUAACACAUGCAAGUCGAGCGGAGCGGCGGACGGGUGUGUAAUGCCUAGGAAUCUGCCUGGUAGUGGGGGUUAACGUCCGGCAACGGGCGCUAAUACCGCAUACUAUCAGAUGAGCCUAGGUCGGAUUCGCUGGUUGGUGGGGUAAAGGCCUACCAAGGCGACGAUCCGUCACUGGUCUGAGAGGAUGAUCAGUCACACUGGAACUGAGACACGAUCCAAACUCCGACGAGAGGAAGCAGUGGGGAAGAUUGGACAAUGGGCGAAAGCCUGAUCAAGGCAUGCAGCGUGUGUGAAGAAGGUCUUGGGAUUGUAAAGCACUUUAAGUUGGGAGGCGUUACCAACAGAAUAAGCACCGGCUAACUUCGUGCCAGCAGCCGCGGUGAUAC
rnacentral:rRNA from 1 species